AGCUCGCGGUUUUCGUCGAUCUGAGUACUAGGCUUUACAAAUAGUUUCGUUUGUUGCAAUUGGAGUCGAUAAUGGGAGGGACUUUAUCGAUAGGUUAGGUCGAUAGGGCGAUAUCCCCGAAUCCCGGUUCGCUCUGGGAUUACCUUAAAUGGAUGAUGACCCAAUUUUGAGAGAGGCUAUGUAAUAUGGCGGGGGUAGGAACGAUGAUCAGCAGAUAUAUAGAUAGUCGCAGCCAUAUUUUGUGCUUAAAAUUAAAUAAUAGCAGCCGGGGUCCCAACACAAAGGGCCCCGGAAUAUUUACGUUGGAGUUCUACUGAUAUCUGCGCGACUUCGGCAUAGCUACCAGCUCGACUUGGCUGCCAACCGUUGUCCGUUCGACCCGCGCAGACACCCAACAAUAAACACAUUUCGCAGUCAACGCCGACGACGUAAAGGAUUUCCCGGUGAGUCCGUUCAGGUCUACCACGUCCACCUCAUCUCGGUGACUUCCAGCCGUCGCAUCGUGGCGUUGAGACGUACCGCCAUUUUGUAUGGCAGCCGAAUCUCGGACUACCCUUGCGCAACUCACCGCAGUGCGCCAGUUACCUUCUUGGAGAAGUCUUCAGCCCGGGCUAUCAUCGCCUUCAGCCCCGUCCCAAUAGUGGUUGAAAUUUAGAAAAAAUUUAAAUACACGUGUACCUUGAUUAUA